AUUGAACGCUGGCGGAAUGCUUUACACAUGCAAGUCGAACGGCAGCACGGGGGCAGCCCUGGUGGCGAGUGGCGAACGGGUGAGUAAUACAUCGGAACGUGCCCGGUCGUGGGGGAUAACGUAGCGAAAGUUACGCUAAUACCGCAUACGAUCUGAGGAUGAAAGCGGGGGACCUUCGGGCCUCGCGCGAUCGGAGCGGCCGAUGUCAGAUUAGGUAGUUGGUGGGGUAAAGGCCUACCAAGCCGACGAUCUGUAGCUGGUCUGAGAGGACGACCAGCCACACUGGGACUGAGACACGGCCCAGACUCCUACGGGAGGCAGCAGUGGGGAAUUUUGGACAAUGGGCGCAAGCCUGAUCCAGCCAUUCCGCGUGCAGGACGAAGGCCUUCGGGUUGUAAACUGCUUUUGUACGGAUCGAAAAGGCUCUGGCUAAUACCUGGGGCUCAUGACGGUACCGUAAGAAUAAGCACCGGCUAACUACGUG
rnacentral:rRNA from 1 species